AACGAACGCUGGCGGCAUGCCUAACACAUGCAAGUCGAACGAGACCUUCGGGUCUUGUGGCGCACGGGUGCGUAACGCGUGGGAACCUGCCCCUAGGUUCGGAAUAACUCCCCGAAAGGGGUGCUAAUACCGGAUAAUGUCUUCGGACCAAAGAUUUAUCGCCCUUGGAUGGGCCCGCGUUGGAUUAGCUAGUUGGUAGGGUAAAAGCCUACCAAGGCGACGAUCCAUAGCUGGUCUGAGAGGAUGAUCAGCCACACUGGGACUGAGACACGGCACAGACUCCUACGGGAGGCAGCAGUGGGGGAUAUUGGACAAUGGGCGAAAGCAUGAUGCAGCAAUGCCGCGUGAGUGAUGAAGGCCUUAGGGUUGUAAAGCUCUUUUAACCGGGAUGAUAAUGACAGUACCGGGAGAAUAAGCUCCGGCUAACUCCGUG
rnacentral:rRNA from 1 species